CCAUUUAUAGUAUGUCUUAAAUAAGACUCGGUAGUAGAGAAUCUUCCCAGAUGAGUUCUUAUAGUCACACAAUCAUUGUGUGAUCCUCAAAAUACAGUUCCUCUCAUAUAUUGAAAAGAUAUAGUAUGUAGUUUUUUGAGUCAUAUCGAAAGGGUUACCUCUUUUAACUAAUUUUUAAUAGCAAUGCCAACUAUAUAAGGAACAGCUAUGAGAACAUAAUACCAACUCAAC
rnacentral:lncRNA from 1 species